UCCGUAGGCGGUGUGGCAAGUCGGUAGUGAAAUCUCUCGGCUUAACUGAGAGGCUGCUGCCGAAACUGCCAUGCUCGAGUGCGAGAGAGGCGAGUGGAAUUGCGGGUGUAGCGGUGAAAUGCGUAGAUAUCCGCAGGAACAUCCGAGGCGAAAGCGGCUCGCUGGAUCGCAACUGACGCUGAGGGACGAAAGCUAGGGGAGCAAACAGGAUUAGAUACCCUGGUAGUCCUAGCCCUAAACCAUCAGGACUUGGGGUUUGCCCUGUACGGGCAAGUCCCGGAGCUAACGCGUUAAGUCCUGCGCCUGGGGAGUACGGUCGCAAGGCUGAA
rnacentral:rRNA from 1 species